CAUUUUUGCUCUAGACAUAUGGUAAACAACACGAUAGAUGUAAUAAAUAUAAAAUAUGGAGUCAUGCUGUAUAUUUGGUUUUGUAAGGCCCUUGUGUUUUAAUAGCUUUCUCUCCCACUACAGAAAGAGGAUGGGCUGAUUAUAGACUUCUGGAAAGUAAGGCAAAUGUAAAGGAAAGCAGUUCACCCAAACUCCCAGGCCCUGAAGCCAGCCUCAUUUGAUUCUUCUCUGCCCUGUCCUGGGGUCUUUUGUUAAAGGGUGCUGCCUUCUUCCUCCGUGAGCCAUCUGAUGUCUUGCUUCUCUCCCUUCCUGUGUGAAGCCUGCUCCUUUUCCCUGAGUCUGUGAGUCUGGAGAGAACUGGAACCGGAUCUUGGGAGCUUCAGAGAGGAGUCGGACUGGAUGGCUGCUUCCUGACUUGGUUGGACCUCUCCCCAUCUGCCAACCCCAGGAACCCUUGCCCUGACUCCUUAAUUGGCAGUCUGGGCAGGGGCCACCGAGCCCAGCCAGUGCCACCCAGCCUGUGCAGAGCUGUUGAAGACUUGUUGCCCCUGAGGAGACCAGGCUCCAGCAGCAAGGCCACACCAAGGUCCCAGACCUCAGUCACAUCUGGGUCCCCCUUGCCCAGCCACAUGCAGACUUAGCCCGUGGUUGGCCCUGGGGCCCCCUUCUGCUCCCACUGUAUGUUCUAGGAGCAGGUUUCUGCUGCCCUGGGCUGCUUGGCCUCCCCUUAGGGGCCUGUGGGCCUGGCACCAGGCGCAGCCUCCCUCAGCUCAGCUGCCUCUUGAACUCCAAGCUGCCCUGGCCCUACCCAUCCCCUCUACCAGCCUUCUUUCUCCAUUCCUAAGCAGUUCAGUUCUGACGCAUCCCAUCCCUGCGUGAAACAGACCUUGGAAAAUCAGAGCUGCCAAGGAUGGACUGGCAUUUAAAAGGCAUCCAAGACUUGAGAGGAAGGCGGAAGAGGGGAGAGAGUGCAGGGCCCUGUCCCUGGACAGCAGCUGGAUUUAGUGGAUGGAAAAUCACAGAAUGCACCCUUCCCUGGGAAGCACCCCGGGAAGAGGGGGGCAAGUGGGGUACCAGGCAGCAUGCCCCACUGGCCACCACCCGCAGUCACCACCACAUGCUCCCAAAGUGAAAAGAUGUGUGAGGGCCGUCGGGAGUCUGCAGCCGACAGCCUUGUAAAUUGUGUUCUCUUAGCAGGUUUAUUCGUUUAUGAAAUAUUGAAGCCCCAUUUCGCUUUAC
rnacentral:lncRNA from 1 species